rnacentral:misc_RNA from 1 species
AAGUGUCUCUCUCAAGAGUCGGGAGAGUAGUUUGAGAUGGCUAGAGCGGGAUAACCGGAGGUCAAGCAGGCCACCACAAUUGCGGCACGCGGACGUGGGUUCAGUGACCGAGGGGUGACCCAGUGCCUGAGUCUCUGCCUCCUGCUAUCUACAAGCCGCUUUGCUUCUUGAUUUCCUUCUUUCCUGUAUUUUUUUCUUGUUUUUUGUAUUUUUUUUUCCUUCUAUGAUGCGCUGCUAAAAACUCUCUGCGUUGUGAAUGGCUAGCGUUUAGAAACUCGAAAACCCCAUUUCUACAGCCCACAAAGAGCAAUGGUAGAGAGAGUGAUAUUCUUUUGUCAACUGGGGAACAGGGAAAUGGAACUACACAGACAGUAGGUAGAGAGACAGAGAGGGAGAGAUACAGAUUGGUCACCAACAAUUUUGUAGAAGAAGAGAGAAUCAUAAGAGAAAGAAAGGGUUUUUGGUCCAGGUGAGAGUUAUGUUUCUUUUUUGGACUGAAAAAGAGAGAGAAGCCCACAUUUGAUAUGAGGAAGAGAAGAUUUGAAUCUGUUAUUCAUUUUCCAUAAGCCAUGGUCGAGCAGCGAAUUGUAGUACCAUUCGCUUUUCUGCUAUUGCUGUUGAAGUUUCAGCCUGCAUUUCAGCAAGUGGAGACACUGAGUUCCUCUGUUGAACAAGCUGCUCUACUUGAACUCAGAUCCUCUUUGGGUAUAAGAAGCAAGGAGUGGCCUAGAAAAGCAAAUCCUUGCCUGAAUUGGACGGGUAUCACGUGCCAGAACGGGAGUGUUUCUGGGAUUAACAUUUCUGGUUUUAGAAGGACAAGGCU